rnacentral:rRNA from 1 species
UACGUAGGGUGCAAGCGUUGUCCGGAAUUAUUGGGCGUAAAGAGCUCGUAGGCGGUUUGUUGCGUCGGCUGUGAAAUCCCGAGGCUCAACCUCGGGUCUGCAGUCGAUACGAGCAAACUAGAGUGUUGCAGGGGAGACUGGAAUUCCUGGUGUAGCGGUGAAAUGCGCAGAUAUCGGGAGGAACACCCGUAGCGAAGGCGGCACUCUGGGCCGGUACUGACGCUGAGGUGCGAAAGCGUGGGGAGCAAACAGG